rnacentral:tRNA from 1 species
GCGGUAGUGGUGGAAUUGGUAGACACGCUAGCUUGAGGUGCUAGUGAUCGAAAGGUUAUGCUGGUUCAAGUCCAGUCUACCGCA